rnacentral:rRNA from 1 species
CAAUAGCGUAUAUUAAAGUUGUUGCAGUUAAAAAGCUCGUAGUCGGAUUUCGGGUCGGGCCGAGCGGUCUGCCGAUGGGUAUGCACUGUUUGGCGCGGCCUUCUUUCCGGAGACCGCGGCUACUCUUAACUGAGCGGGCGUGGGAGACGGAUCGUUUACUUUGAAAAAUCAGAGUGUUUCUAGCAGGCAGCUCGCUCUUGCAUAGGUUAGCAUGGAAUAAUAAGAUAGGACCUCGGUGCUAUUUUGUUGGUUUGCGCACAGAGGUAAUGAUGAACAGGGACAGUUGGGGGUAUUUGUAUUUCGUUGUCAGAGGUGAAAUUCUUAGAUUUACGAAAGACAAACUACUGCGAAAGCAUUUACCAAGGAUGUUUUCAUUGAUCAAGAACGAAAGUAUGGGGAUCGAAGAUGAUCAGAUACCAU